rnacentral:rRNA from 1 species
GGCGAACGGGUGAGUAACACGUGGGCAAUCUGCCCUGCACUCUGGGACAAGCCCUGGAAACGGGGUCUAAUACCGGAUGACACCCCCUCUCGCAUGGGAGGGGGUUGAAAGCUCCGGCGGUGCAGGAUGAGCCCGCGGCCUAUCAGCUUGUUGGUGAGGUAGAAGCUCACCAAGGCGACGACGGGUAGCCGGCCUGAGAGGGCGACCGGCCACACUGGGACUGAGACACGGCCCAGACUCCUACGGGAGGCAGCAGUGGGGAAUAUUGCACAAUGGGCGAAAGCCUGAUGCAGCGACGCCGCGUGAGGGAUGACGGCCUUCGGGUUGUAAACCUCUUUCAGCAGGGAAGAAGCGAAAGUGACGGUACCUGCAGAAGAAGCGCCGGCUAACUACGUGCCAGCAGCCGCGGUAAUACGUAGGGCGCAAGCGUUGUCCGGAAUUAUUGGGCGUAAAGAGCUCGUAGGCGGCUUGU